AAACCCAUCACAUUAACUCAUCUCCUUUUGCACUAAACAAAGAAAACAGUUCCACUGCAACUCAAAAGCCUACCGCAUCAUCUCCCUUACGCGACUAACCUCUUCAACACCUCUCAAAACCUUGAAACAACCAAUGUGUCACCACAUGUGAUAACUCAUCCACCUCUUUCCAUUUUUCCAGACGUGCUCUUUUACUUAUCUCCACCUAUCAUC
rnacentral:lncRNA from 1 species